rnacentral:lncRNA from 1 species
GGUAGGGCUAGGGACUCUCAAAUACUCAAAAUUAGCUUACUCAGUAUUACUGUAUAAAAUAACAUAAAUCUUAGGUAAGGGCUGGAGAAAUAGCUUAAAAGUAUUGAUUUGAGGGAUAUAAUGCUCUUUUUUGGCUUCUGUGGGCACUACACACAUGUACCCAGACAUUCAUGAAGGCAAAACUUUUAUAUACAUAAAAUAAAAAUAAACCUUAAUAAAAGAUCUUAAAUAAGCUAGGUAGUUGCUCAAGCCUGUAAGUCCCAGCUAUGGGAGAGAGGCUGAGGAGGACAGUCAAAGUUUGUUGGCUUCUUGUCUCAAAACAACAAAAUAAAUAAGUAAAAAGAAAAAACAAAACCAAAAAUUGUAUUUAUUUUGAAAGGUGGGGUCUGAUGUAGCCCAGGGUGUUUCCAAUGAUGACCUAAAGUUCUGAUCCUAUACCCUUUAUCAUGUGAAUGCUUGAAUUACAGGUGUGUGUCAUCAUGCUUGGUUUUAUGUUAUUCUAGGUAUUGAAUACAGAAUUGAAUGCUAGGCAAGUACCCUACCAAUUGAACUACAUCUUUACACUCUACUUUUUCUUUCCUUGAUUUCCUUUCCUCAUUAUUUCAUAGACAUUCUAAAUUAGGAGAAUCCCUUUAUGCAAUAACAAAAUACUUGAGCUUUUAUAGUAUAAACUCUGAUUGUGUAUGUUAAAUGUAACUUUAAAAAUCUACAACCUGGGGGGCUGGAGAGAUGGCUCAGUGGUUAAGAGUGCCUACUGCUCUUCCAAAGGUCCCGAGUUCAAAUCCGAGCAACCACAUGGUGGCUCACAACCAUCCGUAAUGAAAUCUGAUGCCCUCUUCUGGACUGUCUGAAGACAGCUACAGUGUACUUACAUAAUAAUAAUAAUAAUAAUAAUAAUAAUAAUAAUAAUAAAUCUACAACCUGUAUUUCUUGGCUACCUGUCUUAAGUAGAUUGUUAUGUUGUACGUGUCAGACUGUAAAAAUAGAGAUUUCUCGCCUCCUUCAAAGAUGAUUAGUUUGUAUUUGUUGAUAUGGCCUAGGAAUCAGUGGACUUCUUUACUUUUUUUCCUUUAUUUUGUGGUGCUAGAGAUUGAACCUAGCCGAAUGCUAGGUGCAAGUCUACCUACUACUGAGCCACACUCUCAGCCCAAGAAUUUAAUACUUCUUAGUGUCCUUUUAGGAUAUAUUGGCCUUCUGAUAAUCCCAGUAGAAAUCACAAAAGAGAGAAAAUAGAAUAAGUGAUAAUUCCUCUAGUACGUGAAAGAUUCAGAGUAGUGAACAUGUUAAUUAAGAAUUGUUGAGGAACUAGAGAGUUGGCUCAGUGGUUAAGAGUGCUAGCUGCCCUUACAGAGGACCAGGGUUUGAUUCUCAGUACCCAUGUGAUGACUUACAACCACCUAAUUUUAUUUUCCGGGUAUCUGACACCCUCUUCUGGCUUUUGCUGGCACUAGAUAUGCAGGUGGUGAAGAUACAAACAUCUUUACACCGUACAAAGCAAAACAACAACAAACAAAUUUUAAAUGAAAAAAAUUGUUGAAAUGGGAAGUGUGGUUCAGUGGUACACUUUGCCUAGGAUGUGUGAGCCUAAGUUAGAUCUCCAACCAUUGCUCAAACAAACAAACGAACAAAAAGACUCUACAUAUUUAGAAAUUAAAGAAAAGCUGCAAGUAAAUUUAUAUAAACUACCAAUUAUUCAAGUGCUAGAGGAAUUUGCUUUUAUAUUUUGGGGGGAGCCAAGUGGUUCUAAACUUACUGUUUUUCCUUUCUAACUGCCAGGUUUACAGAUAACUGGUUUGAUUAAGUGCUAGGGAUCCUACGCAGGAUUUUGUGUAUGUUAGACAAACACUGCCAACUGAGCUAUAUUCCACCCAAACUUGGGAGUUUUGUUUUGUUUAGAUUUGUUUUUGUUUGUCUUUGAGACGGGUUUUCUAUAUGUAGACCUGUUUCUCACUAUGGAGCUUCAAGACCAAGCUGGCCUUGAAUUUUAAUAUCCAGAAAUCAUGUAUUAUUAAAGAAAAAUAUGACAAGUGUUUAUUGUACUGAAUGCUUUGAUACACAAACAUAAAUACACACACAUACACAGACAGACAGAACUACUAGGGCUAGUAAGGGCUGGUAAUUUUUAAAGAUUAACUUUAUGUGUGUGUAUGUCCAUCUGUGUAAGUAUAUGUCAUAUGUGUUCAUGCCUAAAGAGGCCAGAAGAAGGUAUCACAUAUUCUGGAGCUCAAGUUACAGGCAGCUAUAAAAAGCCUGACAUCUAGCCGGGCGUGGUGGCGCACGCCUUUAAUCCCACUACUCAGGAGGCAGAGGCAGGCGGAUUUCUGAUUUCUAGGCCAGCCAGGUCUACAGAGUGAGCUCCAGGACAGCCAGGGCUAAACAGAGAAAUCCUGUCUUGGAAAACAAACAAACAAACAAACAAACAAAAACAACAACAACAAAAAAAGCCUGACAUCUGUGCUAGGAAUUGAACUCAGACCUUAUAGGAAAGCAGCAAACACUUUGCUUCUGAGCCAUCUCUACAACCCGUAUUAAAAAUACCAAAUUAACAUUAAUGAAGCAAACAUGGUUUGGAGAGGUAUUGUAUGGUUUAAAGUCGCUCUAAUUAAGGAAACAUCCAGUAAUUAUUUGCUUGAUGUAUUGUAAUAUGGAAUCUGAAGAAAGCCUUAACUUUUGGUGAAUAAGAGAACUUUAAAAAAAAAAAAAACUACCGCUCCCCCCCCUUCUCUGGCCCCAUUCCUUCCAUAUUUAUUUCAUAUGUGUGGAUCCAUUGUUACUGUCUUCAGACACAGCAGAAGAUGGCAUCGGGCAUCAGAUGCCCAUUACAGAUGGUUGUAAGUCACCAUGUGGUUGCUGGGAGUUGAACUCAGGACCUCUGGAAGAGCAGUUGGUGCUUUUUUUUAAAAAAAAGACUUAUUUAUUUAUUUAUUUAUUUAUUUAAUGUAUAUGGGUGCACUGUAGCUGUACAGAUGGUUGUGAGCCUUCAUGUGGUUGCUGGGAUUUGAACUCUUUGGAAGAGCAGUCAGUGCUCUUACCCACUGAGCCAUCUCACCAGCCCCCCAGUUGGUGCUCUUAACCACUGAGCCCGUAAGUGAACUUUCUUAAUGUUGAGGACUAAAACAGUUUUUAAGCAGUAGAUAUUUAGUGAAUAGUUUCAAUAAUAGAAAAUUUAGGUAUUUAUAAAUGCUAAUUUGAUUUUUAAAAAUGUAAAUAAAAUACUUUCGAAUGAAAUAUACUUUCUGCAUUAGUCUUUAUAAUGGAUGACCUCACUUCUAUUUCUUCCUUUUUGGUUUUUGAGACAGGGUCUCAUUAUGUAGCUUUGGCUAGCUUGAUGCUUGUUGUAUAGACCAGGCUAGCCUCAAACUUACAGAGGAACACUUGCCUAUGCCUUCAGAGUGCUGGAUUUAAAGGCAUAUGCUACCAUACUUAUAUAACCUAUUCUAAAUCUAAAAUACUGGUUGAUAUGUUUAAGUGUUGAACUAACCAUGGCUUUUAGAUAUUUAUCAGCACAUUAAUAUAUUUACUAUAAAGCAGUACUAACAGUUCCAUAUGUAGCUUACUUAAAAUAAUACAUAAAAUAAAAAAAGUCAUUCCAAUUCAUAACUAGUGUGUAUGUAGUAUUAUCUGUAGGUGGUGUAUUUCCACAUGUUUGUAAAUUAAUGACCCCUGGAUUAUUACUAGAAUGAAAGCAUAAUCCAUAGAAGAAAAUAUUGGUACAUUAGACAUUAUCAAAACUAAAACCUUUGAAAACUUUUAGGGAGAUGAGAAGAUAGACUACAGGGUUGAGAAAGAUGGCUCUCAGAAAGAAUGCUUGAUGCAUAGGUAUGAGUUCAAGUUCCUAGCACCCAUGCAAGAACCUAUAGCUGCAAGUAUCUGUAACACCAGCAUAGAUGAAGAUGGAGACAGGCUUACAUCUGGAUCCCUGGAGUUCCUUGGCUAGCCCCUCUAGCCAAGUGAAAACAGGGAGCUUUAGUUCAGGUUCAGUGAGAAACCCUGUCUCAAG